AAGGAGUGAAGCCUUCUAAGUACAGUACCUGGCACAACGAAUUGUCAAGCAAACGGCAAAUCUUCUCUGCAGAGGGGAGCUGAGACUCAGUACCCACAAUCCACUCUGGAGUCUCCUUAUAAUCCUGAAGAGGGAAGCCCAGAGGAAAUCAUCUGAUCUAACCAUAAAAUCAUCAAUAGUGACAAAUUAAAAGGGGAACAUGUCAGGCCUCACUCUUUCUGUACUGGCUUUCAAGAGUAUUGUCUUUGAGGGAAGUCCAUCUCCUUCUUGAUACCAUGGCUACCCUUAGACCCCUCGUGAAGCCCAAGAUCAUCAAAAAUGGACCAAGAAGUUUAUCCUUCACCAGUCAGACUGACAUAUCAAAAUUAGAUGUAUGCAUAUAGCAGCAACCCAGAGGCAUUGACAACAGGGUGUGGAGAAAAAUCAAAAGCAAGACCUUGACCCCCAACAUUGGUUGUGGGAGCAAAAAGAAGCAAAACACAAGCUCCCCAGUGGCUUCCAAAAAUUCCUGUUCCAUGAUGUCAAAGAGCUGGAAGUGCUGCUGAUGUGCAACAAAUCUUACUGUGCUGAGAUUGCUCAACAUGCUUCUCCAAGAACAGUUAAAGCCACUGUGGAGAGAGUAGCCCGACAGCCCACCAGAGUCACUAGUCCCAAUGCCAGGCUGCACAGCAAGAAAAAUUAAUAGACAGCUCAUGUACACAUUUUAUUUGUGUUAAAUAAAACCAUAAAUACUCUGUCA